UACGGGGGGGGCAAGCGUUGUUCGGAAUUACUGGGCGUAAAGGGCGCGUAGGCGGCCAUCUAAGUCAGACGUGAAAUCCCUCGGCUCAACCGAGGAACUGCGUCUGAUACUGGAAGGCUUGAAUCCGGGAGAGGGAUGUGGAAUUCCAGGUGUAGCGGUGAAAUGCGUAGAUAUCAGGAGGAACACCUGUGGCGAAAGCGGCUCACUGGACCACAACUGACGCUGAGGCGCGAAAGCUAGGGGAGCAAACAGG
rnacentral:rRNA from 1 species